rnacentral:rRNA from 1 species
UACGUAGGGUGCAAGCGUUAAUCGGAAUUACUGGGCGUAAAGCGUGCGCAGGCGGAUAUGUAAGUUAGAUGUGAAAUACCCGAGCUCAACUUGGGAAUGGCAUUUAAGACUGCAUGUCUAGAGUUUGUCAGAGGGGGGUAGAAUUCCAAGUGUAGCAGUGAAAUGCGUAGAGAUUUGGAGGAAUACCGGUGGCGAAGGCGGCCCCCUGGGAUAGAACUGACGCUCAUGCACGAAAGCGUGGGUAGCAAACAGG